rnacentral:rRNA from 1 species
UACGUAGGGUGCGAGCGUUGUCCGGAUUUAUUGGGCGUAAAGAGCGCGCAGGCGGUCGUUCAAGUCGAGUGUGAAACACCCCGGCUCAACUGGGGAGGGUCGUGCGAUACGGUCGAGCUUGAGGCCAGUAGGGGGAUGCGGAAUUCCGGGUGUAGUGGUGGAAUGCGUAGAGAUCCGGAGGAACACCAGCGGCGAAGGCGGCAUCCUGGACUGGUACUGACGCUCAUGGAGCGAAAGCG